CCUACGGGGGGCUGCAGUGGGGAAUCUUGCGCAAUGGGCGAAAGCCUGACGCAGCAACGCCGCGUGGGGGAUGAAGGCUCUCGGGUUGUAAACCCCUUUCAGCAGGGACGAAAUUGACGGUACCUGCAGAAGAAGCCCCGGCUAACUACGUGCCAGCAGCCGCGGUAACACGUAGGGGGCAAGCGUUGUCCGGAUUUAUUGGGCGUAAAGAGCUCGUAGGUGGCUAAGUAAGUCGGGUGUCAAAUCCCCAGGCUCAACCUGGGUCUCCACCCGAUACUGCUUUGGCUAGAGUCCGGUAGGGGAGCGUGGAAUUCCUGGUGUAGCGGUGAAAUGCGCAGAUAUCAGGAGGAACACCAGCGGCGAAGGCGGCGCUCUGGGCCGGUACUGACACUGAGGAGCGAAAGCGUGGGUAGCAAACAGGCUUAGAUACCCGGGUAGUC
rnacentral:rRNA from 1 species